CCUACGGGAGGCAGCAGUAGGGAAUAUUGCACAAUGGGGGAAACCCUGAUGCAGCGACGCCGCGUGAGUGAAGAAGUAUUUCGGUAUGUAAAGCUCUGUCGACAGGGAAGAAAAUGACGGUACCUGACCAAGAAGUGACGGAUAACGACGUGCCAGCAGCCGAGGUAAUACGUAGGGGGCAAGCGUUAUCCGGAUGGACUGGGGGUAAAGGGAGCGUAGAUGGCAGGGCAAGUCUGGAGUGAAAGGCGGGGGCUCAACCCCCGGAGUGAUCGGGAAACUGAAAGGCUGGAGUGCAGGAGAGGUAAGUGGAAUUCCUAGUGUAGCGGUGAAAUGCGUAGAUAUUAGGAGGAACACCAGUGGCGAAGGCGGCUUACUGGACUGUAGCUGACGUUGAGGCUCGAAAGCGUGGGGAGCAAACAGGAUUAGAUACCCCUGUAGUC
rnacentral:rRNA from 1 species